CUCCAACCCAUGUGAACAUACCUACUGUUGCUUCGGCGGGAUUGCCCCGGGCGCCUCGUGUGCCCCGGAUCAGGCGCCCGCCUAGGAAACUCAACUCUUGUUUUAUUUUGGAAUCUUCUGAGUAGUUUUUACAAAUAAAUAAAAACUUUCAACAACGGAUCUCUUGGUUCUGGCAUCGAUGAAGAACGCAGCGAAAUGCGAUAAGUAAUGUGAAUUGCAGAAUUCAGUGAAUCAUCGAAUCUUUGAACGCACAUUGCGCCCGCCAGUAUUCUGGCGGGCAUGCCUGUCUGAGCGUCAUUUCAACCCUCAUGCCCCUAGGGCGUGGUGUUGGGGAUCGGCCAAAGCCCGCGAGGGACGGCCGGCCCCUAAAUCUAGUGGCGGACCCGUCGUGGCCUCCUCUGCGAAGUAGUGAUAUUCCGCAUCGGAGAGCGACGAGCCCCUGCCGUUAAACCCCCAACUUUCCAAGGUUGACCUCAGAUCAGGUAGGAAUACCCGCUGAACUUAAGCAUAUCAAUAAGCGGAGGA
rnacentral:rRNA from 1 species